GCCUAGGUAGUGUAGUGGUUUGAAGCACGCGUCCCCCGAUAGGAUGAAACGCGGGUUCGAUUCCAGCCUGAGGCC